rnacentral:rRNA from 1 species
GACGAACGCUGGCGGCGUGCUUAACACAUGCAAGUCGAGCGGUAAGGCCCUUUCGGGGGUACACGAGCGGCGAACGGGUGAGUAACACGUGGGUGACCUGCCCUUAGCUCUGGGAUAAGCCUGGGAAACUGGGUCUAAUACCGGAUAUGACCUCAUGACGCAUGUUGUGGGGUGGAAAGCCUUGUGCGGCUAGGGAUGGGCCCGCGGCCUAUCAGCUUGUUGGUGGGGUGAUGGCCUACCAAGGCGACGACGGGUAGCCGGCCUGAGAGGGCGACCGGCCACACUGGGACUGAGACACGGCCCAGACUCCUACGGGAGGCAGCAGUAGGGAAUUUUCCACAAUGGGCGCAAGCCUGAUGGAGCAACGCCGCGUGCAGGAUGAAUGCCUUAGGGUGUAAACUGCUUUAUAUGUGACGAUUAUGAC